GUGAAAAUGACGCCUUUCUUGCGGUCAAACUUUGGUAAACUUUUAGUUUGUUAUUAAGGAUAUCUAAUACUAUAAAAACAGCUGAGGAACCUUUGUUAGAAUUAUUUGGAGUCAAGUCAUAUUUGCACCUGACUAAAUACACUUAAGUAGAAAACACUUUUUGGAUGUAAUCCCUAUAAAAGUACAGCUUUGGAUUUACUGCCCAUAAUUUGCUGUUAAAUAAUAUUUAUUUUAAUGUCUGUAUUAGUGAUAGAGAGAUGUGUUUAAUGUGACUGUUGUGGCUUAAAAUAGCCGCUAGAGGGCGCGCUAUGCAAUAGACCUGAGCAAUGCUUUGGCUAAUCCUGAUGCUAAUGAGAUAGCAAUACAGUCAUGAAGUUUAUGACAUUUUAUGGAAGAAAUACGGCUUUAUUGUCGUGUUUAUUAGUCUGAAAGGGUUAAAAGUCAUUGUCAGAGAGUUCCAGAUCGCCGUGACCGGAGUAUUUGUUUCCUGUUGUUUUAUAUGAUCGAGGACUCCGGUGAGUGUAUAAGUUAGCAUGCUAAUCACUAACAGACGUGUAAUAGACGUUAUUUUAGUACAGUUUAUGACUAAGCAAUGUAAAACUUUGUCUUCUUGUUAAUCAAAAACCAAUUGUAGUGAACUGUUAAGGUGUACAGAUGCUGUAUUGAGUGAAUUUACAGAGUUUUACGGUUUAGAUUUGCGUUUAAAUUUUGCUGAGUCAUGUCUGGGUGCUUUGACGGUUAAAAAACCCGCCGCGCGCGCGUGCGUGCGUGCGUGUGUGUGUACUGAGGCCCAUGAUUGUCACGCAUGUGGGUGAUUUUCUUGAUUUUUUAUAUUUAUAUAUAUAAAUAAUAUGUUGAACUUCAUCUCGAGAUGGUUAAAAAUGCAUAAAUGUGUAUAAAAAAACAUGACUUAUUGGAGAUGUUAGAUGAAACGUGUAACAUGAUUUGAUAAUACUGUUAUGAAAAACACAAUGAUGUCUGAGGUUUUGAUGUCUCAGGACAUACAGUUCAUUGUUGUUUUUAUGACCAGUAUUGAGAGAUAUGAUACUGUACAGUAAUUCAUGAUUGAUCAUUUUAUUCUGCUUUACUUUAUUACACACACAUGCAGAAGUGGAAAAGGGACGAGACUUCAGGGAUGUACGUUCAUGCAGAAAUCACACAGGAUUGAAAAGAGGAGCAGGAAGACGUCAGGUGAGACCAAGAACAAACUUUUAUUUAUGCUGCCUGUAUUUCUAAACAUUAGUUUGACACUGAUUUUCUCUCAUCCUGCUCAGUUGGUUUCAUCUCAUCCAUCGCCAAAAUCCUUUCUUCGUCUUUCAAGUGACGGUAUUUCUCAACAUUAACUCCAGCAGAGAGCAGGCAUGGAGAUAUGAAGGGCUGUGAUGGUGAAACCUGCAGAUUUAAACCACACAGACAUAAUUUCAUUCAUAAGGGGACUCUGAACCUCUGAAACCACUCUGCAGGGUAUGGAGUUAUUCAUGCAGUCAGUAUUAUGUGGUGAGAAUGCCAUCAUGUGGCAGCUCGAACCAAAGACCUAUACUGUAAAAAGUUGAUCCUACUUUUUACUCUGAAACCAGCCCUUCUAACCAGAGCAGGAUCGGUGAUAAGAACUGAACUCCUCGUCACUCUUUGACUGAUUUCCUCUCCACUCCCCGUUGACGGCUCAGUAACUUAUUCCAGGUAAACUCUACGAACCCUGCAGCACUCUCUGUCGCACUCCGACAGCUCUGUAUCAUGUGAUUUACGGUUAUGGUGGCAUGUUAUUUAUGGAGGUCACUCCCUCAAAGUUGUUUGUUUUUGUUUUUAAUUUUAUCCGUUAAACAGAAAACUUGACGAUCUGUCGAAAACUGAAUCUUUUAUUUGAACCAAGUGUUGACUGACCCACUGUUCCUCCCGUCCUCGUACAUGAGAUGAGCAUGUGCGAUAGGAGGCUCGCUCGACCCGCCUGCAGCCCUGAUGCCGUAUCAGUUAGCGUGAUGCACCGGUGCGUGACUUCGUUGACAAGCGGCGAGGUCAUGUGGGCGUCUUCUGGAGUUGAAGUAUGCACAUUUUGACAACAUUUCUACCAGUCUGAAAGGUUUUCCCUUUGCCUUGUAGAGACACGCUGCAGCCCUGAAACAUUUUCAACAUUCCUCCUGACGGCCUUUCUGCUGCAGACCACGCUGAGAGCGACAGCUUUUGAGCGCAGUGACAGAUGAGCCCUGUACGACGUGCAGAUAGUUCAGAGCUCCUGACAGCUGCAGGGGCUCCCAGUCUGACGAGGGGUUACUAUUCAGGCAGGUAAAUGUGGGCGCUCUUGUUUUGUUCACGUUAGAUUUAGAGGUUUAAAUGGAGUUUGAUUUCACCUUUGACCUUUCACUGUAAACUUACAAAACAAAAAAAACAAAGCAUGAAACCAAACAAAAAAGAUUUACAGCGAGAUAUUUGCAGAGGUAUUUUACUGCCAGAGACGUCAAACACAAGUACAGCACAGGUGUCCCAGUUUACAAACACCUGUUACUAAUGAUGUGAUAAAACCAGUUUAAUCCAGUUCAAAGAGCACAGGUGAGAGACAGACGAAAUCAAAGAUGGAUGGAGACAAUCUGAGAGCCGGAGGAGGACAAAUGUGUGAGAGACGGCCGACCAUGAGGAGAGAGGCUCUGUCUCUGAGUUUACCAUCUUUGCAGAGCAACAUGUGCAAUCUUAGUACUUCUGGGUCAGACCCUGGCCCUGUACUCAUGUAGGGUACGGGUCCUACGUGUCAAAAUGACGCAGACUGGAAGCCCUGUGAUUGGUCCGCUUGAUCUCAGACACUUCCAGUAUCCCUCAUCAGCUUUAACUUAAGUGUAAUACGCUCAGAUUCAGUCGCCAUGGUUUCCUGUGAACAAGUGAGGAGGGUACGAUGCAGAAGCGUAAACCAGACCAAACUUAUUGGCGCUGAUACUUUUUUACAUCCAGGUCAAACUUUCUUCCUCGAAGGCGACUUUCGUGAAUCUUCGGUUACCGCUCCUCUAAAUCCCUCCCCCCUCCGCUCUCCUCCAAUCCUCAUUCAGGACUGUAAGACGCCCUCAGCGACUGUGACCCCUGUCACUGUGACCAUCUCAACAACAAUCAUCAUCACAUGAUUCCUGCGCCGUGUUGAGUAACUGGUUGUGAUUAACUAACAUGAGCCAAAGUCAAUAAAACAUGAUCUUGUUGACGUGUUUGGCUCCCAGGCUGUCAGCUUUCAUACUAAUGAGAAAAUGAAACCUGAUCCUCGGAGUGUUUUCAUAUAAUUACCCAUCAUGCUUUUCGUAAUAAGCCUCUUCUGUUAUUUCUUAAGAUGUCACAUGCUCCAGUUCUCGAGGUUAUCUGAAACGUGUCAUGUGACCAUCUGAUGUCAGAUCCUCAUCGUGCGCUGAUGGCAGUGUGAGAUUCGUUAUUUAACUCUUUCUAUUGAUUCUGGUGUCAUAUUCUCGUCAGGUGCAGAUGAUCAGGUGAGAUGUGGGACAUGUGACGCCCUCCAGCCUCUCCUCAGGUAUGUUGAGGGCUGCUCACUGAUUGGCUGCUCAGAUACUCUGCUCCACCAGGUGUUAUCUUUCCUCAACGCCUCAUUCUGAGAAAGCGUCUUCUCUUUCCCUCCACAUCACUCUGACACGGUUCAGCUCUUCAGUCCUGAAUACUUGUUUUUGUAAAUGAUGUGUUUUCGGUCUGAACACACAAACAGGAGCGAACGUUUGACCUUCUGUGGAGCGAUGUACCGAUGAUCCCCAGGCCCUCCGACCAAUCACUUACCAGCUCAGGUCGUUUUGUAACAGGUGGACGCCUUGUGUGUCAGAUACAGAUCUGAGAGCAGAGACGGGAAGAAGAUAAGUCCACAUUCCCAUACCUCCCUCACUCUGUUCAGCCCGGAGCUCCUCUGAGGUUUCCUCCGCUCUGAAGUCAGAAAAACCUCAAAACAUUGAGCUCGACGUGAACGUGAACUGAAUGUGAACUCCAACAACAACGACAAUCAUGGGUUUCCAUCUUCAUUUUUGGAAGAUAAUAAAGUCACUAAAUAUUAUCAGUUAAAUACGCAGAAAACAACAUGAAACACGGACCUGUCGCAGCUUCAUCACCUGGUUAAACACCGUUUAGACCUCAGACUCAGUCCUGUUCACUGUCAUGUUUCAUCCCGUCACAAAAAUGUUGUAUUAUGAUGAUUAGACCAACAUUCAUGGUGAUGAAAGAACAAAAUCACAGUUUUAUUUUCUUAUCUAAAAUAUGAUACCACCAACCCGUUUACAAAAGUUAGGAAAGAGACAAUAAAACAGAGAAAAAGUUGUUUACAAUAAAAAAAAGACCAUCACCUGAAGUUCGAGUGCAUAGGGAGCUCUGACAUGGUGUAGGUUCAUCACUCUGUGAGUGACUGCGUGAGCAGACAGUUCAACAGUUUCCUUUCUGCAGUGACUGAACUCUAUUUUUGUAUUUACUAAGACUGUCAUGAAUUUCACCUCACGAUCACCGUGGUCAUAAGAUAUCACAAGUACGAUAUUAUCACAAGGUUCAGAGAAAAUAGCUGCAACAGCUAACCAGCUAACAGUCCGCUCCUUCUUCUUCCUCUCUCCUCUGUUUUAGAUGUAUGUCAGCCCAAGAAGUCAGUGUUCCUUUUGCUUGUUUUUAGUGUUAUGAACAGAGAUCCAGAUCAGGAUAGACACUGAGAGGAUGAGGUGUGUGUGUUAGUAAAGCAGAUGGACUGAGGGAGCAGAGAGGGUGAAACAAAAGCGUCUGUUAGUCUUUCUGUGGUCGUGGACGAGACUCUGUCUCUGAGAUGUUUGCAUGCUGUCCCGGGACAUUCAGGGGUACCUUCAGGGGUUCCUUCGGGGGACUUUGGCGUCUUCCCAUGUUCUGAUCACGCCUGUCGGGUUACCCGGUAAAUAUAUUACCCAUGACUCUGAAUGUUGGAAGCGGUUUGGAUGAUGGAUGGAUUAUAUUAUGACUCCAUAGAUGAACUUACUUGCACAGGCAGCUGUUUUUACAUUGCACACAUUCUCAGCCUGAUAUGAGCAUGCAGACCCCCCCACAGUACAGUAUAGUCGUCCCACCGUACAUUAGUGUGAAAUACCUGUACGGCUUUCUAAUGUAUGUUAUCUCUGAGUUUCAUCACAGGCAGGUUUGGUCUUGUGUUUAUCUCGUCUCAUCUGGUGCCAGGCCUCUUGUAGCCUCCAUGGUGUUACUAUUGAUGCCCGUCCUCCGCUGAUGUAAAGAUUGUGUUAUCGUUGGGGCCCCGGAGCCAGCCUGCUGCACUGAUGGAGCGACAAGGAGCACCCACUUCCACGGUGAGAAAAAAAUCUGUGGCACGCACACUCUGACUUCUCUUCUGAGAGUCGAACCAACAAACUCAUGUAGCCUUUAUUUACAAGAAAAAAACUUUAGACUGUGUUUUAAAUGUGAAUAAAAGCAGAAUUUAAUAGUAAUGUGAACAUUUCCGAUGUUUUAGAUCCUGUGGACCGUGCUCUUCGUUCAGAAUCUUUAUAACGUCGGCCUUGGUCCUGUCACGUUUAAAUUUCUUUCUUGC